rnacentral:tRNA from 1 species
GCCGCCGUAGCGAAGAGGACAAACGCGGGCUGGACUUGCAAGUCCCCGGGCAUAGGCCCUUCGUGGGUUCGAAUCCCACCGGCGGCUCCA